ACGAACGCUGGCGGCCUGCCUCACCCCUGCAGGUCGAACGAGACCUUCGGGUCUAGUGGCGCACGGGUGCGUAACGCGUGGGAACCUGCCCUUAGGUUCGGAAUAACUCCCCGAAAGGGGUGCUAAUACCGGAUAAUGUCUUCGGACCAAAGAUUUAUCGCCUUUGGAUGGGCCCGCGUUGGAUUAGCUAGUUGGUAGGGUAAAAGCCUACCAAGGCGACGAUCCAUAGCUGGUCUGAGAGGAUGAUCAGCCACACUGGGACUGAGACACGGCCCAGACUCCUACGGGAGGCAGCAGUGGGGAAUAUUGGACAAUGGGCGAAAGCCUGAUCCAGCAAUGCCGCGUGAGUGAUGAAGGCCUUAGGGUUGUAAAGCUCUUUUACCCGGGAUGAUAAUGACAGUACCGGGAGAAUAAGCUCCGGCUAACUCCGUG
rnacentral:rRNA from 1 species